rnacentral:rRNA from 1 species
GACGAACGCUGGCGGCGUGCUUAACACAUGCAAGUCGAACGGAAAGGCCCCUUUUGUGGUACUCGAUUGGCUAACGGGUGAGUAACACGUGCGUAACCUGCCCUUGCCUUCCUGUUAACUUCCUUCAACUGGGGCUAAUACCUACUAGGUAUCCUUUCUUCCUGCUUGGGGUUGGAUAGCUUCUGCGGUUUUGGAUGGACUCGCGGCUUAUCAGCUUGUUUGUUGGGUAGUGGGUUACCAAGGCUUUCAAGGGUAGCCGGCCUGAGAGGGGGACCGGCCACAAUGGGACUGAAGUAAGGCCCAGACUCCUACGGGAAGGAAGAGUGGGGAAUAUUGCAAAAUGGGCGGAAGCCUGAUGGAGCAAAGCCGCGUGCGGGAUGGAGGGCUUCGGGUUGUAAACCGGCUUCAGCAGGGGAGAAGCUUGUGGUGACGGUACCUGGAGAAGAAGCACCGGCUAACUACGUG